GAUGAACGCUGGCGGCGUGCUUAACACAUGCAAGUCGAACGAAGCAAUUUCUCACGAUCCCUUCGGGGUGACGAGUUAUUGACUGAGUGGCGGACGGGUGAGUAACGCGUGGGUAACCUACCUUGUACAGGGGGACAACAGUUGGAAACGACUGCUAAUWCCGCAUAAGCGCACAGCUUCGCAUGAASCAGUGUGAAAAGUUAUUUCGGUACAAGAUGGACCCGCGUCUGAUUAGCUAGUUGGUGAGGUAACGGCCCACCAAGGCGACGAUCAGUAGCCGACCUGAGAGGGUGACCGGCCACAUUGGGACUGAGACACGGCCCAAACUCCUACGGGAGGCAGCAGUGGGGAAUAUUGCACAAUGGGCGCAAGCCUGAUGCMGCGMCGCCGCGUGAGCGAAGAAGUAUUUCGGUAUGUAAAGCUCUAUCAGCAGCGAAGAUAAC
rnacentral:rRNA from 1 species